AGAGUUUGAUCCUGGCUCAGAACGAACGUUAGCGGCGCGCUUAACACAUGCAAGUCGGAUGUGCCCGCAAGGGUGCAUGGCAGACGGGUGAGUAACGCGUGGGGAAUCUACCUCUUUGUGGGGAAUAACGCUCCGAAAGGAGUGGUAAUACCGCAUGAGACCAAUGGCUGGAAUGCUGUUGGUGAAACCUGGGGACCGCAAGGCCUGGGGCAAGGAGAGGAUCCUGCGUCUGAUUAGCUAGUUGGCGGGGUAACGGCCCACCAAGGCGACGAUCAGUAGCCGGCCUGAGAGGGUGAUCGGCCACACUGGAACUGAGACACGGUCCAGACUCCUACGGGAGGCAGCAGUGGGGAAUUUUGCGCAAUGGGCGAAAGCCUGACGCAGCAACGCCGCGUGGGUGAUGAAGGUCUUCGGAUCGUAAAACCCUGUCGUCGGGGACGAAGGUGGCUUGGUUAACAGCUGAGUUGCUUGACGGUACCCGGAGAGGAAGCCCCGGCUAACUCUGUGCCAGCAGCCGCGGUAAUACAGAGGGGGCAAGCGUUAUUCGGAAUUAUUGGGCGUAAAGGGCGCGUAGGCGGUUUUUUAAGUCAGAUGUGUAAUCCCCGAGCUCAACUUGGGAACUGCAUCUGAGACUGGAAGGCUAGAGUACUGGAGAGGGUGGUAGAAUUCCACGUGUAGCGGUGAAAUGCGUAGAGAUGUGGAGGAAUACCAGUGGCGAAGGCGGCCACCUGGACAGUAACUGACGCUGAGGCGCGAAAGUGUGGGUAGCAAACAGGAUUAGAUACCCCGGUAGU
rnacentral:rRNA from 1 species